GACGCAAAACUGUUUUUUCCUCCCAGGACCUCCAAACUUGGGCUUGUCUAGGCAAAGUGUACAGGUUCCACAGUCAUUGGCCUCGUGACAGCCCUCACAGUCUCCACAUCUAGACCGCUUCUUCCCAACUACAUUUACCAGGAAUAUCGUCGGGUGUAGGUCCUGUUUCACAAGAAAUCUCAGUAUCGUGAUUUACAGAUUGCACUUGAGCAGAUGAUUGUGAAAAAUGGCUUUGCAAAGCUAGUAUGUCUGUUGAAAGGGAUUGCGCUAGAAAUUUUGUACUGUUGGUUCUUCUAUCAAGGCAGUGCAAGACAACAGAUCGAGGGCGAUUAUGAAGGUAUGAUGGUAUACAGCUAUUGUAUGCGCGGUACUGAGAUAGUUGCUGGUAGUUUUGCAAUAAGUACUUGUAUUUCACACUCGGCAAGUAAUUUUCGACAAUAAUGGUCACUGUACUCGAGAGGGUUGCCUUUUGCUUUUUUCUAGGCAAGAAAGUGUACUUAAACAGCUUAUUUUGGGCCUCCGUUCCGUUGUUCGUAUCAACAGCAGCGUGGUAGCAGUUGUCUCUAAAGGCUCUGGCCCAGCGCUGUCAUUCACUGCAAGCUUAUAGAGGGCGGCAAUAUCCUCAUCCUCACCUGGUUGAGCCCAUGCACAAGCUCGAAGUAAGGAUGACCUUGAUGUGAUUCUACAGUUGGCAAGGAGAUAUAGUAAAGCGUUUUAGAUUUUGGAGCAUCAGGGUGUUCGUUGAGUUCAGCUUUUAGUUCAGCCAUUUUUUUUCUUUAAGGGUACGUAGGGUAAUGGCUCGAGUUUCGUGUGCAUGAAUAGAAGAAUACUCAGGGUACAAAAUACAUUUUUUUAUUGUUACGUGUGCCAAGCAUUCUAUUUUGCGACUGCCUUGAAUAAAUACCCUCGAGCUCUUCUUUGUCUUCUCUUUGUAAUAGUGUGGGCCAAAUUGACAAUCGAGAGUUCUAGUUUCAACAAUACAGAAUGGAGUUGGUGUACUUACUACCAUUUUCCCCUUGCUCCAAAAUAGAAUUACCUGGUUAUAC